AAAAAAAAACCAAACAAAAACAAAACGUUUUGAAUGAUGCAGGCUUAAACACAGAAGUCCAAAAUGAUAUAUUGCUGUAUUUGGUAACAUGGAACUAUGUCAAUUUGAAGCGAUUUCACAGGAGAGAACGACAACACUUUUGUAACAAGUCUGGGUCAAAAAAGCCUAUUAAUUAGACAAGUCAUGAGCAAUGGCACUACACGCAGAAUGUCCGUGAGACAUCAGACUUCCUAAAGAUACGUAGCUAACAGACUGUCAACAAUUCUUAACUAAAUCGAGAGGAACUUGGCGGAGUGUUCCGCCCCGGGAGCAAGCGCCUCCGGUGGGGUACCCCCGCCGGGCAGGACACCCGCCGCGCAGCUCGCCUCACGGCGCUACCUUCUCCGCCCUUUCCCCGCGGCUCACACCGCCGCGCCGGGGCCGGAACUACUGCUGUGUGCCAGUUUACUGAACCAUGGCUUGCUAAAGAGAUUGCUGGGGUCACAGAUUGAAAAAACAAAGAACAUAACCACCACCUAAUGCUGAAGUUUAUGCCUAGCAAAGAAGCAGAAAAGAAACUCAUGAAAGGCAGCAAUCUUUUUACUCUCUUCUUGUCUACAAAUUCUCCAUCUUUGAUGUCACGUGUUGGGGAGGAAAGGCUAGCAGUCUGUCAACACACAGAUUUUGACUCUACCCCCUGGCGUGACUCCUGCACUGCAUAGAGAUUUGGCACACAGCUUUGAUGACACUUCCUAAAUGAAUCUGGACAAAUUUUUGGGUAAAUUGUGUUACUCAUACUCUUAUGAGAAAGUCAGCUCACUCCAUGAGAACAGUUGACAGGAU